AUUCUGUCUGCGCCCGGCAAUUCUGACGUCGUAGGUGCAUGGCUCUGGCCUUGGUGCCCUCCAAAGCCUUCCCAGGUGACUCUAGCGGACAGUCGGGGCUGAGGAGACCUGAUCCAGAUUAGCAGACACUGAAAAGCUGUCCCAGAGGGUCUGUGAGCUCAACACUGGUGCCUCCUGGUUGGAAGGGAGGAGAAAUUUCUCUGAAGAAUGACUAGGUCCUACCGAAGCCUGGACAGUCUUUAAUGUCAGGGCAGAACACCUCCCACCUUUAUAACCGCCUACCUUCCGUAUCCCCAACCACCUGCUCUCAGAUGUACCCGGGCCAGCCGCAUCUAUACCUGCACCCACCACCAUCUGUGCUUGGCUCUCCCCUGCACCUGGGUUCUGUCUGUGCCUGGCUCGUGUCCGAGCCCUGGUCCUGCUGCCAUCACCUUGAGUCUGUAUUCCAGAAGCGUCCCUUCUCAAGAGUCAAGGGCAGGUAUGUGUGGAGGGAACAGACUCUAGCAGGAAAGAGCGGAGUUCUCGCAGAUUCCUUGUGGCAUAAGAGGGAGGACACCAGUGAGCCUGGAGGGGAUGUGUUCACCCAGUAACGGGAACUGCAGAGAGCACUCCGCAGUGACGGGUGGGGAUCGCCUCUGAGCAGCAGUGCAGAAAAGGCCCCCAGAAGCAGAACAGGGCAUUUGGACACGCGGAGAGACACCAGAAGUUCAUGGGCAC